rnacentral:rRNA from 1 species
CGGGUGAGUAGCACGUGGGCAACCUACCCUUCUGUGGGGGGACAAACUCCGGGGAACCGGGGCUAAUACCGCAUUCGGUCACCGAUCGCAUGUCUGGUGAAGAAAGCAGCAAUGCGCAGAAGGAUGGGCCCGCGGCCUAUCAGCUAGUUGGUGGGGUAACGGCCUACCAAGGCGAAGACGGGUAGCUGGUCUGAGAGGACGACCAGCCACACGGGGACUGCGACACGGCCCCG